rnacentral:rRNA from 1 species
GAUGAACGCUGGCGGCGUGCCUAAUACAUGCAAGUCGAGCGAACAGAUGGGGAGCUUGCUCCUCUGACGUUAGCGGCGGACGGGUGAGUAACACGUGGAUAACCUACCUAUAAGACUGGGAUAACUUCGGGAAACCGGAGCUAAUACCGGAUAAUAUAUUUAACCGCAUGGUUCAAUAAUGAAAGACGGUUUUGCUGUCACUUAUAGAUGGAUCCGCGCCGCAUUAGCUAGUUGGUAAGGUAACGGCUUACCAAGGCAACGAUGCGUAGCCGACCUGAGAGGGUGAUCGGCCACACUGGAACUGAGACACGGUCCAGACUCCUACGGGAGGCAGCAGUAGGGAAUCUUCCGCAAUGGGCGAAAGCCUGACGGAGCAACGCCGCGUGAGUGAUGAAGGUCUUCGGAUCGUAAAACUCUGUUAUUAGGGAAGGACAAAUGUGUAAGUAACUAUGCACGUCUUGACGGUACCUAAUCAGAAAGCCACGGCUAACUACGUG